GAUUUGAACCACAAUCUUUAGAUCUUAGCUUUCUGAGUAGCUACAAUUAUAAGCAUGAACCAUUAUUGACUGGCUAUUCAGUAUUUCCUUGUUGGCCUUAGGGUCUUUGCAAAGUGAGAAAUGAAUUUCCUGCCUCUAGUUUUAUUUUGCUCUCGUAUAAUGUCCUUUUCAAGGUACAUUUCCAAGGCACUGUGCAUAUGUCAAUAAAUAUGUCUUUCCAUGGCUCCCAAACAUGAAUGUCUUCUGUUGGAACUCAUGUACUUGUCCUUUCUUUUGGAAGAUUUAAUAAAAUGGAAAUGGCAUAUGUUCUUGUGAUCUACUUGAAUUGUGUUAGAAUUAUCUAAUUAAUUGUGGGAAGUGAGAAAUGCCUUAAUAGCGUUCUAACCAAACCCAUCUUUCUUACUGAAAAGAAUUUUGAAAUUGAAGAAGCCAGGCGUACCUCUGAAGGCCAAUGCCUGUCACACACCAUUUGAAGAAAAUAGCAGGUAUUACAUAGAAUCGAUGAAUACUAUCAGAUGAAACUUGGAUAAUUCCAAAGAAUUAUCCAAGGCUAGAGUAUAGUUCAGUUUU